GGCGGUUCACAGGUGACUCACCCCGGAAUUUGGCUCCCUCCUCUCUGGUUCUAGGUACAUCACCUGAGAAUCGCA
rfam:Myotis brandtii contig291098, whole genome shotgun sequence.